AGCGAACGCUGGCGGCAGGCUUAACACAUGCAAGUCGAGCGGGCACUUCGGUGUCAGCGGCAGACGGGUGAGUAACACGUGGGAACGUACCCUUUGGUUCGGAAUAACGCUGGGAAACUAGCGCUAAUACCGGAUACGCCCUUUUGGGGAAAGGCUUGCUGCCGAAGGAUCGGCCCGCGUCUGAUUAGCUAGUUGGUGGGGUAAUGGCCUACCAAGGCGACGAUCAGUAGCUGGUCUGAGAGGAUGAUCAGCCACACUGGGACUGAGACACGGCCCAGACUCCUACGGGAGGCAGGAGUGGGGAAUAUUGGACAAUGGGAGCAAGGCUGAUCCAGCCAUGCAGCGUGAGUGAUGAAGGCCUUAGGGUUGUAAAGCUCUUUUGUCCGGGACGAUAAUGACGGUACCGGAAGAAUAAGCCCCGGCUAACUUCGUG
rnacentral:rRNA from 1 species